rnacentral:rRNA from 1 species
UACGUAGGGCGCAAGCGUUGUCCGGAAUUAUUGGGCGUAAAGAGCUCGUAGGCGGUUUGUCGCGUCUGCCGUGAAAGUCCGGGGCUCAACUCCGGAUCUGCGGUGGGUACGGGCAGACUAGAGUGAUGUAGGGGAGACUGGAAUUCCUGGUGUAGCGGUGAAAUGCGCAGAUAUCAGGAGGAACACCGGUGGCGAAGGCGGCUCUCUGGACCGGUACUGACGCUGAGACGCGAAAGCCAGGGGAGCAAACGGG